rnacentral:rRNA from 1 species
UGAAUAACCUGUCCUCGGCACCGGGAUAGCCCGGGGAAACCCGGAUUAACACCGGAUGGCCUUUCGAGUCUUCGGGCUCGUCAGAAAAGGUAGCUUCGGCCUCCGGCCGAGGAGGGACUCGCGGCGGAUUAGCUUGUUGGUGGGGUAACGGCUCACCAAGGCGGCGAUCCGUAGCUGGUCUGAGAGGACGAUCAGCCACACUGGAACUGAGACACGGUCCAGACUCCUACGGGAGGCAG